CCCGGCUCGUGGCCAUCAUCUACCAGUGGGAUAUCUAGGACUAUAUCUGGGCAUAUCAUGCACCGAGAACACCGAUGUGUACCUAAGCAGAGACGUCACCUAAUCCUGCUCCCCAAUUAACAAAGGAGACAGGUUCAAAGCGUCUAUCUGAUCCUGCCCAACAGUGGAGACUAAGUGAGAGGCUACCUUAGCAACAUGAGGAGGAACCUUCAUGACACCAGCAGGCAAACUAAUCACAAAAGACGCUGGCUAAUGUACCCACCGUAGUACAGAGGUAGAGCAAAAAGUCAAUUGAUCCCCCGUUAACAAUCAGUAUAUACACACUGCUUCUUACCACUCACACUAACUCAGGGGACACCUGCAAUCAACCAGGUAAGCCCAAGGAUGGAGGUUAAAACAAAAUGGUAGCACCUGAAUACUGUCCAGCAUAGGUGGCCGCUACCAACUUCAUCGUUCCCCGAGGGAUGUGACACACCUUCCCACCCUGACUCUAACCUUACCUGGGGCUCCCUCAGGUGCCUGCACUCUAGAGCUAUGACACUGUUGCAGGGCCUGCAUAAUAAACGCAGGUGCCAUAAACAAUGAAGGCAACUCAAACAAGGCUGAACCAUACUGCACAAAGAGCUCCUGAUUGCACCUCUGGAUCACGUUCAUUCCCAAGACAGCAGGAACCUGACAAGACACAGCACCUGGGGGAUCCUUAACCACCAGUACCCCCUACACUGUGACAUCACCUUACCACAAAGUUCAACUGGGGGCUAGGAGGAAAUCACAUCCCAUCACAUUCCCAAGCAAUGUGACAGCUGUUGACAACUUCUGCAUAUGAUAGGACUACGCCCAGGUGAACACCUGCACUGAUGAGAGUGAUGCAAGAGGGUUACACUCCGAGUAAGCUGCCAAAGCUGCUCACGCUGACCUUUCAGCAGUUCCCUCAGUUCCUACAUCUCAAAGUCCUGAACUUAAUUACUCACGUUCUGGGGAUUGCCCAGGACCCCACACUGAAUACCAACAGCCAAUGGGCCAGAAUGAGUUUGGGCCCAUGCACCACCUGGCAAACCUUCCCGUUCCCACCUGAUAACCUCACUCCUAACUAUCAGUAUGGUAGCAUUGGGCUGCCUGCGCACCAUCAGCUUUAACUCACUACAGAGGGCACCGUCACAGACAUACUCAACAAACUGGUCCCUCAACAAAAUAUAAGCAUUUACCAUCCCGCUAGGCGCACGCUGCUUUACUUUCUUUACUUACUUGCUUUAUGGAAAAGAAAAUCUCCUGCAAAGCUACAUACAACUCUGCAUACACAUACAGCUCCAGCAACACAGCUGGGCUGGGGCUCCUGUUCCGCACUAGAGUGACAUUUUUUCUCCUCACAAGCUUCCCCUUCCAAGUGAUCAAACAGAACGCUUGACCGGACGUGAACAAACACUGAGCCCUCAUACCCACUCAUUCCUCCUUAAGCCACUCACUUAAACUGAUACCUGAUCAUCCAAUAAACAGGGCACUUUUGAUCCCAAGGUACAAACACCAGCCUCUCCAUCAUGGGGCCAGUAUUAAUAGAUGGAGCCGUAAAUGAGCGACUAAAUCCCUCAGCUCUUGUUAUUUCCCCUCCAUCAUAACCUUACUCAGAUAAAUGUAGCACAAAACAAGAUCAAUAAGGCAAUCAAGGCUUCAAAACUCACCAAGGGCCAUUAAAAAAAGCUCUGCUUUGCCUUUACACAAUUACACUAAACAAUGUAUUCAGUACAAAGCACAAUAAUAAGAGGAUGGAACACACAUCUCCAAGCAGAAAGUAUAUCUGGCCGACAAAGCCAGCUUGCAAUGAACUAGCCCAAUGACACAUAAACAUUAUGAUCAGCAGAUACCAGUAACUUCCUGAGCUGCCAGCAUCCCAUGCUUAUGUGCAGCAAAAUACACUGACACUAAACAGAAAUUAGACAACAUACCAGUUGCAGACCAUGAGACAGAUGCUUCCGACAAGGAAUCCACACAAUGUGAGUCUAAAAAACAAAAUUUGAAGCAAACAGUAUAACGAAUUGCCAAAUACAGUGAGGAGCAGAGGGAGAAGAUCAUGGAUGAGCCAUCCCAUAUCUGAAACAAUAGCAGAAGUCAGGUAACUGGAAAUGGACCAGGCUCUCAGUGUCAGGUCCUCCCAAACAGCUGCUACUGACCUGUAUAGGGAGCCUAUGUCUUUGUCACCUAAUUACUGGGUGAGACAAUGAGACAUAUGGGAUUUGCAGGACAUCCUUGUGCGUCGUCAUUGCCCCUUCUUAGCUCACAUUUCACCAUGGUUUUUAAGGUGUACCUAAUUGCCCUCUUCUAUUGCAGAGCUCUUGACCCUAUGUGGAGUAAAUGUGACUUUCCUUCCUGUGGACUCAUUGUCUAAACUUCCUGACAAACAAAAAUACAAUUGUUUGUUUGAUAGCAUAUACUGUUCUGCCAGCAUGGUUCACCAGCUGGGCCCAUCACUGAGACUAAUUGCUGCACCUAAGGCUGUCCUUGUUGUGGAACUUGCAGACUACCUGCUAGAUCUUUCUAAGGAGCAGGUUGCUGGAUUUGCAGAGAAAGUUGAUAACAUUGCCCGAGGAGCAGGGUUCAAGCCAUUGGAAGAAAUAAGGGGCAUUUUUGCCACAUAUACACUGCAAGAGGGAUGAACCCUGGCGACUAUGAUCUCCUGACAUCAUCUGUGUCUGUUUCAGAUUGUCUUGGCUGUGUGGCUUCUUACUUAUUAUUAUUAUUGUCUGCCUAUUAUUAUUCUUUCUGGAACACUUUGGUAGUGAGAUUGGCAGUCACUGGUAUGUGCUUACACUCCUCAUUGUAUUCACCACUAGCACUGUUUUCUUAUCGAUAAUGGCUUCCUGUGACUGAUGGCAAUGUCCAGAUUACUCGGAAUACCUGGCAGCAUAACUCAUUUAAUUUGGUUAAAAUAUUAACAUUUCUUGGGCUUGAUUGGUAGUGAUGUGCUAUCAAUUGCAUGCCCUCAUAUGCCCUUUAUUAUACUUGUGUUGUUAAACAGUUAUAUAAUUUAGAGUUCCGCCUGUCAGUUGGAACCCGGGCAGGAUUAAGUGUGGGAAUCGGGUUUUUCGAGAUGGGUUUUGCAUAGUAAGUUUUAACAUUACUGCUAGCUGGCUAGUGUGAGAGUGUGUUUCUUUCCAAGCAGACUAAACUUACAUGAAUGUAUUAGUUUGUAUUAUUCUGUGAAUACACAUAUUUUUUGUUGUAUGAAUGGACACAUUUUAUUUUUCCUGUCAAGUUUCAUUUUUAUCCAUUUUAGAUAAAUGCAUUUAAUUGUG